ACUCCAUUUUUCCUUUUCUGCAGGAGACUAUCCGAUGCUCCUCUGAAAGGAUACCAUUAGUCCCUUUCAGUUAAUGGAUUCUCAGAAUUACAAAACCGGAUUUAUUUUGGUCCUGGUUCAUUACCUGACAUUACCUGUUCCAAUGGCUGACUUUCCAGCAUGAGCCCCUCCCCCCCCUUUUAAACCCCUGGUACAUCAGUAGCUGAAAGUCAUUUCAUUUUCAUUCAGAGCCAUCUGGAGGAGCAGCUGCCCUCUGCAGUCGCUCUUUGGACCUCCCUGGUGGCUGACUGCACUCUCUCUGAGCUGGAGGGACAAGAUUUCGAGAGUCAGGCUGACAUCGUCCUGGUUGGAUUUUGUUUUUGGAAAACUUUGUUGUUGUUGUUGUUGUUAGUUGCGAAGUCGUGUCUGACCCAUCGCGACCCCAUGGACAACGUUCCUCCAGGUCUUCCUGUCUCUACCAUCUCUGGAGUCCAUUUAAGCUCACGCUGACUGCUUCAGUGACUCUGUCCAGCCAUUUUGGUCCUUUAUCAUGCCCAUCUUUACAUGAAAUGUUCCCUUCAUAGCUCCAAUUUUCUUGAAGAGAUCUCUGGUCCUCUCUAUUCUAUUGUUUUCUUCUAUUUCUUUGCACUGUUCAUUUAAGAAUGCAUUCUUAUCUCUUCUAGCUAUUCUCUGGAAUUCUGCAUUCAACUGGGUGUGUCUUUCUCUUUCUCCCUUGCCUUUCGCUUCCCUUCUUUCCUCAGCUAUUUGCAAAGCUUCCUCAGACAGCCAUUUUGCUUUCUUGCAUUUCUUUUUCUUUGGAAUGGUUUUAGUUGCUACCUCUUGUACAAUGUUGUGAACCUCCGUCCAUAGUUCUUCAGGCACUCUGUCUAUCAGAUCUAAUUCCUUAAAUCUAUUUUUCACCUCUACUGUAUAUUCAUCAGGGAUAUGAUUUAGUUCAUACCUGAGUGGCCUGGUGUUUUUCCCUACUUUCUUCAAUUUAAGCCUAAAUUUUGCAAUGAGAAGCUCAUGAUCUAAGCCACAGUCAGCUCCUGGUCUAGUUUUUACUGACUGUAUAGAGCUUCUCCAUCUUUGGCUGCAGAGCACAUAGUCAAUCUGAUUUCUGUGUUGAACAUCUGGUGAUGUCCAUGUGUAGGGUUGUUGGAAAAGAGUGUUUGCUAUGACUAACGUAUUCUCUUGACAGAAUUCGAUCAGCCUGUGCCCUGCUUCAUUUUGUACUCCAAGUCCAAACUUGCCUGUUAUUCCGGUUAUCUUUUGGCUUCCUACUUUAGCAUUCCAAUCCCCCAUGAUGAUAAGGACAUCAUUUUUUGGUGUUAAUUCUAUCAAGGUUGACUCAGCCUUCCAUCCUUUAUAAGGAAUUGCUGACUGGCAAAAAGCUACACUGGAGAAUUUGGAGCAAAGAACAAUAAAGCUAAUGACUAUUCACUAUGCAUUGCAUCCUUGUGGUGAUAUGGACCGGUUAUACCUGCCCUGCAGAAAUGGAGGUAGAAGAGAGAGGCAUGGCCAGCGUCACGAUGGGACAACACGAACCCCGGGAACUCCUGGAAGAGUGCUGAAAUUCCUGCAUUUUGGGGGUUCUCAAUGGACCAUUGCUGUCCUGGAGGGACAGCGAAGAAAGAAGGCAUUGGCCGGGCGCGAACAGGGAAGUUGCGAAUUCCCUGCAGCACCGGCACCCAGCCUUCGAACCCAUGACAGGAAAGGCAGCCAUUAGAGCUGCCAAAGUCGGGACGGCCACACAAGAAGAUAGAGCAGGAGGCGAGAUCAGAACAGAGUAUGGUUACUGGGUGAGCGAUUGGCCAACUCACAGAUAGUCAACAGGGUCGCAAGAAACACGUUGAGAAAAAAAGGCGCGCCUUAACUGCCAAAGAUUUGAGAAGAAUCAAACAUGAAGCUACCAGGGACCAUUAUCUUCCAGUGCUGUCAUAUUCCAGAACUGCAACCUACCUGGAGUGCCCAGAAGUACAAGGUGUUCAGUGCUCAGAGACGUGGCCAAAGUAAGGAAGGCUGAAAUCCGACCACCACUGAACAUACAUUGAAACAGCAAGACUGAGCCAAAUAAUAACUGAAGACAGAUUUUUCAAAGGUUUUAUGGAUUGAUGAGGAGUGACUCUUAACGGACCAGAUGGAUGAGCCCAUGGCUGGAUCAGUAAUGGCACAGAUCUCCACUUUGACUCAGACGCCAGCAAGGUGGAGGUGGAGUAGUGGUAUGGGCUGGCAUUAUUGACGAUGAGGUAGUUGGAUCUUUUCAGGUUGAAGAUGGACUCAAAAUCAACUCCCAAACCUACUGCCAGUUUUUAGAAGAGACUUUCUUCAAGCAGUGGUACAGGAAAAAGUCUGCAUCUUUCAAGAGAACCAGGACAAUGCUCCAACACGUGCAUUGACCAGCCAGGCCUUAAAGAUGAAAGAAUGAUGACAUGGCUUCACCUGACCUAGGCCCUAUUGAGAACUUGCGGGCCCUUCUUAAACGGGAGAUUUACGGUGAAGAAAAUACAGUUCACCUCCCUGAAUGGUGUCUGGCAGGCGGCGGUUGCUGCUGCACAAACAGUUGAUCAAGAAACUGACAGACUCCAUGAACUUAAAGCUCAUGACUGUUAUUGAAAAGAAGGGUGGCUAUAUUGGUCACUUUAAAAAAAAAUUUCAGAAAUAUUUGUACAUUUUGUUAUUCUCACUUUAACAAAUGCGAAUAAAUGAGAUGGGCAAAUUUUAAUUUUUAAUUUAGUUGCAUAAACACUAAUAGUUGCCCAAUAAUUGGGCAUACAUAGAUAUUCUCUUAAGAAAGCCAAAACCUCAGUUUUACUUUCUUAAAUAUUCAGGUUUGAGGUUUAUUAAUAUUUUGAAUUGACCGAGAGCACUACAGUUGUUCAAUAAUGAAAUUAAUCUCCCAAAAUAGAGCUUGCCUAAUAA